CCUACAGCGAUGAGGCUCUAACAUGUAAGAAGGGCCAUUCAUAUGGUUUCUUCAAUGAAAUACUCUUGUGACACUUGGCUUGCGAAAGCAUU
rnacentral:snoRNA from 1 species